rnacentral:rRNA from 1 species
CGUGUAGGCGGUUCGUUAUGUCGGAUGUGAAAGCCCUCGGCUUAACCGAGGAAGUGCAUCCGAAACUGGCGGACUUGAGUACCGGAGAGGGUGGCGGAAUUCCCGGUGUAGAGGUGAAAUUCGUAGAGAUCGGGAGGAACACCCGUGGCGAAGGCGGCCACCUGGACGGAUACUGACGCUGAGACGCGAAAGCGUGGGUAGCAAACA